rnacentral:rRNA from 1 species
CCUACGGCGGGGCAGCAGUGGGGAAUAUUGGACAAUGGGCGAAAGCCUGAUCCAGCCAUGCCGCGUGUGUGAAGAAGGCCUUCGGGUUGUAAAGCACUUUCAGUGGGGAAGAAAGCCUUGGGGCUAAUACCCUCGAGGAAGGACAUCACCCACAGAAGAAGCACCGGCUAACUCCGUGCCAGCAGCCGCGGUAAUACGGAGGGUGCGAGCGUUAAUCGGAAUUACUGGGCGUAAAGCGCGCGUAGGCGGUCUGAUAAGCCGGUUGUGAAAGCCCCGGGCUCAACCUGGGAACGGCAUCCGGAACUGUCAGGCUAGAGUGCAGGAGAGGAAGGUAGAAUUCCCGGUGUAGCGGUGAAAUGCGUAGAGAUCGGGAGGAAUACCAGUGGCGAAGGCGGCCUUCUGGACUGACACUGACGCUGAGGUGCGAAAGCGUGGGUAGCAAACAGGAUUAGAUACCCCGGUAGUC